AGCACAGAGAUUAACGCGUUGGAGCUCGCAACACGGUAUGAAAUACAUGAUGAGCACAGAGAUUAACGCGUUGGAGCUCGCAACACGGUAUGAAAUACAUGAUGAGCACAGAGAUUAAAGCGUUGGAGCUCGCAACACGGUAUGAAAUACAUGAUGAGCACAGAGAUUAACGCGUUGGAGCUCGCAACACGGUAUGAAAUACAUGAUGAGCACAGAGAUUAAAGCGUUGGAGCUCGCAACACGGUAUGAAAUACAUGAUGAGCACAGAGAUUAACGCGUUGGAGCUCGCAACACGAUUACAAAGCAGUGAUACAUCACAACGCAUGCAACAAGAUAUAAAAGGCGUAUCGCCAUAGAAGGCGAAAUCCAUUGCAGAUGCGGUUA